GUGCCAGCCGCCGCGGUAAUACCGGCAGCUCAAGUGAUGUCCCAUAUUAUUGGGCCUAAAGCGUCCGUAGCUGGCCAUGCAAGUCCACUGGGAAAUCCACCCGCUCAACGGGUGGCCGUCCGGUGGAACCUGUGUGGCUUGGGACCGGAAGGCGCGACGGGUACGUCCGGGGUAGGAGUGAAAUCCCAUAAUCCCGCACGGACCACCGAUGGCGAAAGCACUUCGAGAAAACGGAUCCGACAGUGAGGGACGAAAGCCAGGGUCUCCAACCGGAUUAGAAGCCCGGGUAGUCC
rnacentral:rRNA from 1 species